GUGGAGGCAGCAGUGAGGAAUCUUCCACAAUGGACGAAAGUCUGAUGGAGCAACGCCGCGUGAGCGAUGAAGGCCUUCGGGUCGUAAAGCUCUGUUGUUAGGGAAGAACAAGUACCGGAGUAACUGCCGGUACCUUGACGGUACCUAACCAGAAAGCCACGGCUAACUACGUGCCAGCAGCCGCGGUAAUACGUAGGUGGCAAGCGUUGUCCGGAAUUAUUGGGCGUAAAGCGCGCGCAGGCGGUCCUUUAAGUCUGAUGUGAAAGCCCACGGCUCAACCGUGGAGGGUCAUUGGAAACUGGGGGACUUGAGUGCAGAAGAGGAAAGCGGAAUUCCACGUGUAGCGGUGAAAUGCGUAGAGAUGUGGAGGAACACCAGUGGCGGAGGCGGCUUUCUGGUCUGUAACUGACGCUGAGGCGCGAAAGCGUGGGGAGCAAACAGGAUUAGAUACCCUGGUAGUCA
rnacentral:rRNA from 1 species